CCAUAGAUCAGAUGACAGAGAGUGGAAAAGAAAAAAGGGAAAAAAAUCAAAAAAGUCAGUUGUUUUAAUUUCUCCAGUGAGAUUUUUUUC
rnacentral:ribozyme from 14 species